CGCCUGUCCGAGGGUCGGCUUAUAAACUAUCACGACGCCCAAAAAGUCGUGGCUUGGGUCUUGCCAGCUGACGUGAUUUCCCUUAUCAGUUUCGACUGUUGGGUGUCAGAUCUAUGGCGUUUCCCUAAUAUAUCCGGUUACAACUCCAAAUUGACUGAAAGUCAUUUUCGAGGGUGACUGCGGAGUCGUGGCUCAAUUGGUCUAUUUGCGCGCUCCGUUUGUGCAUCAUUUGUUAACCGUUUACUGCGUCAUUGACGCAUUACCUGACCUCGGAUCAGACGUGAAUACCCGCUGAACUUAAGCAUAUCAAUAAGCGGAGGAAAAGAAACUAACAAGGAUUCCCUCAGUAACGGCGAGUGAACAGGGAAAAGCCCAGCACCGAAGCCUGUGGCCGUUUGGUUACUAGGCAAUGUGGUGUUUAG
rnacentral:rRNA from 1 species